UCCUCUCUCUCUCAACGACGUCAUCCAGGGAGAUCUCUCUCUUCUUCCUCGUGCUGAAUCUGCUCUGAAGUAAAGCAAGUGAGUAGAAAGUCAUUUGUGUUUAGUUUUAAAGCAAUCGGAGGAAAUACAUAUAUAUCAUACAUGGGUUCACUCAAUGCAGGAUGGGACUCACCCGUUCUAAAUUCCAAACCAGAUGUGUGCAAGAGGAAUCAAUCACUCACCAAGGACGAGAUUGAAGCUUACUGGAGAGCCAACAAUGAAUUACAUCAUACCACCACUACUCAGAGUCUUUUGUUUCAGGAUCAAAUCAGGUGGUAACAGUUUGACUUUAAAAAGAUGGCCCCUCACAGUGAAUAAAGGGCAAUGAAGUUGGUCCCCAGCAGACGGUGGAAGGCGACGUGCGGUGGUGGUGGCAGGUGGUCAGCGGCGGGAUUUCGGCGGUGGUGGUUGGCUAGAUAUGGACAUGUGGCAUAGUAUGCUUACUUUAGAAGGAGUGGUAUUGUGUGUAAUUUUGAUAAUUUUUAAUGAUAUUUUUGUAAAAUUAGGUACUACAUUUGGUCUUUGGCCUUAUGUUAAUUAGAUGAAAUUAUAUUCUUAUCUUCCAAAUUAGUAAACUAUAUUGUGUUUUAAAA